UCUAUGUCGGCGACCGGCGCACGGGUGCGUAACGCGUAUGCAGCCUACCCAUUACAGGGGGAUAACACUGAGAAAUCGGUACUAAUACCCCAUAACAUCCAGGGAGGCAUCUUCUUGGGUUGAAAACUCCGGUGGUAAUGGAUGGGCAUGCGUUGUAUUAGUUAGUUGGUGGGGUAACGGCUCACCAAGACAACGAUACAUAGGGGGACUGAGAGGUUAACCCCCCCACAUUGGUACUGAGACACGGACCAAACUCCUACGGGAGGCAGCAG
rnacentral:rRNA from 1 species